GGCGGGUCCGCCCGCCGAUUGGACAAACUUAAACCCUUUGUAAUUGAAAUCAGCGUCUGAAAAAACAUAAUAGUUACAACUUUCAACAACGGAUCUCUUGGUUCUGGCAUCGAUGAAGAACGCAGCGAAAUGCGAUAAGUAGUGUGAAUUGCAGAAUUCAGUGAAUCAUCGAAUCUUUGAACGCACAUUGCGCCCCUUGGUAUUCCAUGGGGCAUGCCUGUUCGAGCGUCAUUUGUACCUUCAAGCUCUGCUUGGUGUUGGGUGUUUGUCUCGCCUUUGCGUGUAGACUCGCCUUAAAACAAUUGGCAGCCGGCGUGUUGAUUUCGGAGCGCAGUACAUCUCGCGCUUUGCACUCAUAACGACGACGUCCAAAAAGUACUUUUUACACUCUUGACCUCGGAUCAGGUAGGGAUACCCGCUGAACUUAAGCAUAUCAAUAAGCGGAGGAAAAGAAACCAACAGGGAUUGCCCUAGUAACGGCGAGUGAAGCGGCAACAGCUCAAAUUUGAAAUCUGGCGUCUUUGGCGUCCGAGUUGUAAUUUGCAGAGGGCGCUUUGGCAUUGGCAGCGGUCCAAGUUCCUUGGAACAGGACGUCACAGAGGGUGAGAAUCCCGUAC
rnacentral:rRNA from 2 species